rnacentral:rRNA from 1 species
GUCGGGAAUAUUGCACAAUGGGCGCAAGCCUGAUGCAGCAACGCCGCGUGAGGGACGACGGCCUUCGGGUUGUAAACCUCUUUUAGCAGGGAAGAAGCGAAAGUGACGGUACCUGCAGAAAAAGCACCGGCUAACUACGUGCCAGCAGCCGCGGUAAUACGUCGGGUGCAAGCGUUGUCCGGAAUUAUUGGGCGUAAAGAGCUCGUAGGCGGUUUGUCGCGUCUGCUGUGAAAACCCGAGGCUCAACCUCGGGCCUGCAGUGGGUACGGGCAGACUAGAGUGCGGUAGGGGAGAUUGGAAUUCCUGGUGUAGCGGUGGAAUGAGCAGAUAUCAGGAGGAACACCGAUGGCGAAGGCAGAUCUCUGGGCCGUAACUGACGCUGAGGAGCGAAAGCGUGGGGAGCGAACAGGAUUAGAAACCCGGGUAGUCC